rnacentral:lncRNA from 1 species
GUCUGAUUGUAAAGAAUGUGAUAUUGUCUGAACUUCUGCUUUUUGACAGUAUUCAAAUCAUAAUGAAUUGAUGUCGAAAUUUAAUUAGCGCAGUUAUUGCUUCACUGUGGCCACAUGUGUGGUAAAAUCUGAUUGGGUGGAUUUUUGUUGUUCUUCCCAUAAGGUAUAUAGAUGUACUUAAUGCAAGAUUAAAGCAGAGCUGAUCGUUUCCCACUUGAUGGGUAAAACUUAAAUAUGAAGACAGUCAUUGUAGUGUUGUCCAUCCUGGGCCUUUGUCUCGGCGCUCCUGUGGAGCAUGAUAUGGAUAGAGAUAAUGAGCAAGAAAUUGAUGAGGGUCAGCAAUUUGCUGGUUCUCCGCUGGAUCAGACAGACCCCAUUACCAGGACAAUCCUCUACCCUGUUCCAAGAGCUGAUGGCUUCCUGGGAAACCUUUUUAUGAACCCUUUUCUAAACCCAUAUGGAUCUCACCUUUAUUACCCGCAGUACCCACUGUACUCAGGUUACCCAACUUACCCACACUACCCUGCCUAUUCACUGCCACCUGUUAUAAUACACUUGCCUCAGAGAAACCCCUGAAACUGGCAAAAUCGUAACGUCAAUUGCAUUAUCUAUACUUCAAACAGACAAAUAUUGUCUUUAUUUUGCGUAAUGCUAUGACAUAUUUGAUUUCAAUUUAUCAGACUUUACACUUGUGUUACUUUGCCUUUUUUCUUAGUUUUUCUUAUAUUUUACUAUUGUUUCUUAUUAUAUUCACCUAUUCCUGUUUGUUUUCUCCACUGUAUUUAGUAUUGCAAACUCAUUUCCCCCCCAAAAAAAAUAUUUAGAGCAACAUAUAUCUGAUUCCUUCAGCCAGAUUAAUCAAACAAACACAAUAUCUCUAUUUCCAAGAUGGUGUCAACUAGUGUGAGUAUAGCAAAGUGAUGUGGAAAAGAGCCAGUACAUGUGGAAUUUCUAUGUUGCACAAAUUGUACAAAUGUGCAAUACUCAAUAAAUAUACUAUACUAUGUUUGGUUAUGUGGGUGUGUGUGUUCUCAACAUUUGCUUGUUUAAUAAUUUCUAGACAGACCACUGUAAAGCAAACAUUACAAAACUGAAGAUAUAUUACAUAUAUAUGGGCAAUAUUACACAAGUAGCAGUGCGAUAUGGCUGUAUAUCAGCACUGGUGAGAGGCGUGCGUUGGCUCGAGUCAGCAGGCCGAGUGCUUUGGUUCCCCUCACCAAUGCCGGUAUACAGCCAUUUCGCACUGCUACAAGUGUGAUAUUGCGCUUAUACACUCUCAGAAAGUACAAGGUCC